rnacentral:rRNA from 1 species
GUAGUCCACGCCGUAAACGGUGGGCGCUAGAUGUGGGGACCUUCCACGGUUUCUGCGUCGCAGCUAACGCAUUAAGCGCCCCGCCUGGGGAGUACGGUCGCAAGACUAAAACUCAAAGGAAUUGACGGGGCCCGCACAAGCGGCGGAGCAUGUUGCUUAAUUCGACGCAACGCGAAGAACCUUACCAAGGCUUGACAUCGCCGGAAAACUCGCAGAGAUGCGGGGGUCCUUUUGGGCCGGUGACAGGUGGUGCAUGGCUGUCGUCAGCUCGUGUCGUGAGAUGUUGGGUUAAG